rnacentral:rRNA from 1 species
AGGACGAACGCUGGCGGCGUGCUUAACACAUGCAAGUCGAACGGAAAGGCCCUUCGGGGUACUCGAGUGGCGAACGGGUGAGUAACACGUGGGUGAUCUGCCCUGCACUUUGGGAUAAGCCUGGGAAACUGGGUCUAAUACCGAAUAUGAUCAUGCACCUCAUGGUGUGUGGUGGAAAGCUUUUGCGGUGUGGGAUGGGCCCGCGGCCUAUCAGCUUGUUGGUGGGGUAAUGGCCUACCAAGGCGACGACGGGUAGCCGGCCUGAGAGGGUGUCCGGCCACACUGGGACUGAGAUACGGCCCAGACUCCUACGGGAGGCAGCAGUGGGGAAUAUUGCACAAUGGGCGCAAGCCUGAUGCAGCGACGCCGCGUGGGGGAUGACGGCCUUCGGGUUGUAACCCCUUUCAGUGCCGACGAAGCGCGAGUGACGGUAGGCACAGAAGAAGCACCGGCCAACUACGUGCCAGCAGCCGC